AGAGGAGAAACCCAGCCAUUAGCAAAGCCUUGCAGAGAGGACAUAAUUACAUCCAAAGGCAAGGAAUGCCUGUCUCUAGGCUGAAGUCCGUAUAGUUAAAGCUAUGGUUUUCCCAGUAGUGAUGUAUGGAAGUGAGAGCUGGACCAUAAAGAAGGCUGAUCGCCGAAGAAUUGAUGCUUUUGAAUUCUGGUGCUGGAGGAGACUCUAGAGAGUCCCAUGGACUGCAAGAAGAUCAAACCUAUCCAUUCUGAAGGAAAUCAGCCCUGAGUGCUCACUGGAAGGAGUAUGUAUGUAUGUAUGUAUGUAUGUAUAAAUAAAUAAAUAAAUAAUGUGCCCUACUUUACAGAGGAUAGUCUUCUCUUCUUCUGGAAGGGCCCUCAAGUCCAAAUUAGGUUGAACGAUAUGAAAACCCUAAGAAGGGAGAGCAGGAGGAGAAGGAAAGGCCUUGAAUUGACCCCUGGGCUGAGCAGACAGCUCACCUGGUCACACUCUUUUCCAUGAGAGUGUUGGGUUUUUUUAAUGAUGAUAAUUAUGUCCCAAUUUGCAUCCGUGCGUAGAAAUAAGCAUCUUCAAUUUUAUGUGAAUCUGUUUCCUCUUGGUUUUUUUUUGGGGGGGGGGUGAAGUGUAAAACUUGUACAACACCCAAAAAUAGGAAGGGAAGGGAUAUUCAUCACCACAGGUUUGCAUAUCAUUUACAUAUGCUGAUGUAUGCCCACCCUAUUGCCCUGGGGCCUUGCCAGGAAAGCAAGCAAGCAACAAGGCUUUCAUCCUGGUUGACCUGGUAAGAGCAUGUCAAGAACCUUUCUUGUGCAUAACUGCACUAUGGGAUGGGACUGUUUUAAAAAUCCAUGAUGCCUACUCCCUUUCUACCACUUUCUGUUGCCAUAGAACCAGAGGGACUAAGCUGUGGCUCUUUAGAUGCUGUUAGUCUGCAAUUCCCGCCCUCAUCCCUGGACAUUAGCCAUGCUGGCUGCUGGUACCUAGAGUACAACAACAUCUGGAGAUUGGCCAGAGAUAUUCCCCACCGCUGCAAGGGAGCACCCUGUCCCGGACUCUCCAGGCUUUUGCCAGAAGGAUGCUGUGGCCGGCACCACCAUUUCCCAGCUUCUGUGUUGCUCCCAAAGGAGAAAUUUGGUAGCCGCCUUAAGUCGGAGGCUUCCCAUAUAAAGUUGCCCUUCCUGUUCAGCAAUGGCGACAAUCUGGAAAGAGAUCAUGAGGUUGACUUGAAAGGAGGGGAAUGCCAGGACAUUCUGUGCUACUCUGAGAGUACUUUGAUCAGUUUAAUGGUAUGAGUUCCAAGUCCACAGAUAUGAAGCCACCCACAACAUUAUUGCUGUUUGUAAAAAUUAAAAAAAUAAUAAUACUGUAACCAAAGUAACUGGGAGAUUUAUUUAAAUAAAUAUGCACUUGUUUGCAUCCAAGCACACCCCCCCCCGGUGCAUCUCAGGUGUCCCUUGUGGCCCUGCUGAACCUCUUAUGCCCCACAUCUUAGCCUGUACAGCAGUCAGUAGACCGGAGCCCUCCAAGCAUGUUGGAUCGCUCUUUUUUAAUUGACCAGGCUAUAGCCUAGAGCAAAACACCUUCCUUGCUUUUAUUUAUAGUUUUAUUGCUCUUAUCUCUUUCCAAGUUAUUUCCUUUGGUCAUAUCUGUUUGCAUUUACAAUUCUGAGUUGUCACAAGAUAGCCAAUUAUUAGUAAUAGCUAUUGAUUUUCUUAUAAAUUAGUUGAUGCACAUUUGUGGUAGGUGAAGGUUUCUGCAUGUUUCGUAAAUAGUGAUAGAGAUAAGUUCUUCGCUCUUAUGUUUUCAUUAAUAAGAAUGUGUAAAAAUAAUUUUCAUGCAAUACUCUUUGCUGAAUUUUAUUGUGUUAUCUUUCUUAGUAGGUUGUGCAAAUAACUAUUCUGAAUAAUGCUUUUUUACGGUAGAGGGCACUGGAGACGAGUUUAUGGAACCAAAUGUGGAGAGGUGUCUACCACAGCAGUAGACUCUCCACCUCUAGCUAUUUCCACUUUUGUCCUAGUAAUAAGCUGAAGCUGUGUACACAAUAUACCUUUCUUCUUCUUCUUUGGCGAUCACUCGUAGCUGAGUAAGAUUGUCUUCCAUAAACACAGUUUUAACAAUGAGUCCAUAAAUGACUGUGGAGGCCAGUUCUGGAUCCACACAUCCUUCCACAGUGGAGACAUUGGUUUCUGGGCGGGAGUUGACCAUGGUGUAGAUUUGCCAAGCGUGCCUUCCUCUUAGCACGUUUCUCCCUUGCGUCCUGAGUUUGAGUGUCUUCAAAGCCCAUGACACCUUUGGUAAAGGCUGUUCUCCAAUUGGAGCGCUCGCAGGCAAGUGUUUCCCAAUUGUUGGUGUUUAUACUACAUUUUUAAAAAUUUGCCUUGAGACAGUCUUUAAACCUCUUUUGUUGACCACCAGCAUUACGCUUUCCAUUUUUAAGUUGGGAAUAGAGUAGUUGCUUUGGAAGACGAUAAUCAGGCAUCCACACAACCUGACCAGACCAACAAAGUUGAUGUUGAAUAAUCAUUGCUUCAACACUGGUGAUCUUUGCUUCUUCCAGUACACUGGUAUUAGUUCACCUGUCUUCCCAGGUGAUGUGUAACAUUUUUCGAAGACACCGUUGAUGGAAUCUUUCAAGGAGGAAAUGGUGUUUAUAAGUGGUCCAUGUUUCACAAGCAUACAGUAAGGUUGGUAGGACAAUAGCUUUGUAAACAAGCAUUUUGGUUUCCCUGCGAAUGUCCUGGUCCUCAAACACUGGGACAUGGGGCACCCGGUGUUCCAGACUCAGUUUGGGAAGAUUGCCGUAAACAUUUGCUAUGGGCGACAUCAUCCCCUCAAUUGGCUCAUGUACAGUCUGAAUGGAGCAGAGAUCAUCUUUAAUCCUUCUGCAGUUCAACUGGGAGAAAGGCAUCGGGUCAGAGGCAGUACCAAUUGCUGGAAGCCACAGGAGGAGAAGGUGCAUCUGGUUGGCCACUGUAAGAACAGGAUACUGGACUAGAUGGGCCACUGACCUUAUCCAGCACAAUUGCUCUUAGCUAUCAAUGGCUACUAGCCAUUGGCUACUAACCACAGUGGCUACUUUCUACCUCUGCCUCAGAGGCAGUAUGCCUUUGAAUACCAGCUGGUGAGAAUCACAAGUGGGAGAGGGCUUGUUUGUGUGGGCGUGGCAGAAGUGGCAUCUGGGCCACAGCAAGACAGUUCAGGACAGAAUGGCCGCACUAUUCAGCUUCACCUAUCUCCAGGCUCUUUGGGAGUUCUUAAGACAUGGUGAAUGAUGACAUGUUACCUGGCAUGGUUUAGAAGUGUUUAAAGC